ACCUGUGACAUAGAGACUCCAUCUACAACUUGACUCUUUUCGGUUCUCCAACCUCAUCCUCGCACACAGGCUCCGAGAAUAUACUCUGAUCCUCCUCAUAGAAGCAGCCCUGUGGACAUCUAAAUAGCCUCACAGUGCAGUUUUUGUUCCUAUUUGUAGCACCGUGUUAACCAAUGGUGUACUUUGCAAUCAAUAAUGAACUCCAACAUCCUCGGGUCCGGCUUUACUGAUAUUCAUUGUGAAAUCUGUCCUGACCCACUGCUACUGAAACUUUCUGGAACACCAGGUCACCGUUUUGAAAUCAAAUAAAUCAGGAGCUGGCUUGUGUACAAGCUGAAGAAAAGUGCUGUUUCCAUUACUAAGUAGAUGGCUCUGACUUCAACUGCAGGAGAUGGAGGUCGGUUCUUCAGGGAUGAUGGACACAGAGUGAAGAUUGGGUCAUCUUAACUACUCAGUGAAUCCAAAAUAAAUGAGGAAGAAGUUCAAGGGAUCCAGAAUAUUAGCACCACCAAGAAAUGAGCAAGAUUCCUCCUCUUGAGAAGCUGAAUUAAGGAUUCCAGAUCAGUCCAGGCAAGGUACAACGUAUUGUGGAAGAGCCCUUUUGAUCAUGACUUCUUUCAGAUAAGUGUGUCCAUGUCCAUAUAUACUACC